GUCUUUUCGUAGUUUUACUCUUUGAUUACCAUGGUGAUGGGUUUAUCGUCGACUUAUGACUUUUGAGAGUCACUUUGGUAUGUCAUCUGUCUUUUUUUGCCUACUCAAACAAAUACAAUUAAUAUUGUUUUUGUUUUAAACAAAUCUUUAGUAUAAUAUUGCAUUCAUUCAUAAUUAUACUUUCUUCAAAGUUUUCUUACUUUUUUGUUUACCGUUUAUCAUAUGAAAUAAGGUGCAGCAUCUAUAAUUUUCGCUAAUGUACGUUGGUGCAUGAAGCGAGAAUAAUAUUCAAAGCGAGAUAAUUCUAGCGUUAGAAUAUGUAAGAUACUUAGUCAUAAGGUACCAGUCUUGUAUUACAACUCCAGUUUCAAAACAUGGAGGGAAACAAAAUAGUCCAUUUUUUUCUGAAUUUUUUUCUGGACUCAAUUUUUUCUGUUUGAUUAUAGGUUUAUGCUGAAUUGAAACAUAUAUAUAGAUUUAAAAAAAAUCUUGCAUCUUUUUGGGGAUAUCAAUCCAGGAAAGUGGAAGGAUAUCAUGUUUACUGGAAGUGGUGCGGCCUAGAAAAACAGCAAACAGAAAGUAGAAAAAAAUGUUUUGACUUCAGGGUUACGUAACUUUUUAUUCUUCGUGGCAUGACCCACUUUUUUUUCGAUUAAAUCACAAUUUCACAUUAGUACAUACAUAAUAGGAACAUGAAAUUUUUUUUCUAUGUAGCAUUUUUUAUUUUUUUUAUUUUCAAAGAUCAGCUGUUUAGCAUGUAAGCCUAUGGAGCA
rnacentral:lncRNA from 1 species